UACGGGGGGGGCAAGCGUUGUUCGGAAUUACUGGGCGUAAAGGGCUCGUAGGCGGCCAACUAAGUCCGACGUGAAAUCCCCAGGCUUAACCUGGGAACUGCGUCGGAUACUGGUUGGCUUGAAUCCGGGAGAGGGAUGCGGAAUUCCAGGUGUAGCGGUGAAAUGCGUAGAUAUCAGGAGGAACACCGGUGGCGAAGGCGGGUCUCUGGGCCGAUACUGACGCUGAGGAGCGAAAGCGUGGGGAGCGAACAGG
rnacentral:rRNA from 1 species